rnacentral:rRNA from 1 species
UACGGGAGGCAGCAGUAGGGAAUCUUCCGCAAUGGACGAAAGUCUGACGGAGCAACGCCGCGUGAGUGAUGAAGGUUUUCGGAUCGUAAAACUCUGUUGUUAGGGAAGAACAAGUGCGAGAGUAACUGCUCGCACCUUGACGGUACCUAACCAGAAAGCCACGGCUAACUACGUGCCAGCAGCCGCGGUAAUACGUAGGUGGCAAGCGUUGUCCGGAAUUAUUGGGCGUAAAGCGCGCGCAGGCGGUUUCUUAAGUCUGAUGUGAAAGCCCCCGGCUCAACCGGGGAGGGUCAUUGGAAACUGGGAAACUUGAGUGCAGAAGAGGAGAGUGGAAUUCCACGUGUAGCGGUGAAAUGCGUAGAGAUGUGGAGGAACACCAGUGGCGAAGGCGACUCUCUGGUCUGUAACUGACGCUGAGGCGCGAAAGCGUGGGGAGCGAACAGGAUUAGAUACCCUGGUAGUCCACGCCGUAAACGAUGAGUGCUAAGUGUUAGAGGGUUUCCGCCCUUUAGUGCUGCAGCUAACGCAUUAAGCACUCCGCCUGGGGAGUACGGUCGCAAGACUGAAACUC